GUAGGGGGCAAGCGUUGUCCGGAAUUAUUGGGCGUAAAGGGCGCGUAGGCGGAUAGUUAAGUCCGGUGUGAAAGAUCAGGGCUCAACCCUGAGAGUGCAUCGGAAACUGGUUAUCUUGAGGACAGGAGAGGAAAGUGGAAUUCCUAGUGUAGCGGUGAAAUGCGUAGAUAUUAGGAGGAACACCAGUGGCGAAGGCGACUUUCUGGACUGUAACUGACGCUGAGGCGCGAAAGCGUGGGGAGCAAACAGGAUUAGAUACCCUGGUAGUCCACGCUGUAAACGAUGAGUGCUAGGUGUAGAGGGUAUCGACCCCUUCUGUGCCGCAGUUAACACAAUAAGCACUCCGCCUGGGGAGUACGGCCGCAAGGUUG
rnacentral:rRNA from 1 species